rnacentral:rRNA from 1 species
UACAGAGGGUGCAAGCGUUGUUCGGAAUUAUUGGGCGUAAAGAGCGUGUAGGCGGCCAGGUAGGUCUGCUGUGAAAACUCGAGGCUCAACCUCGAGACGUCGGCGGAAACCAUCUGGCUAGAGUCCGGAAGAGGAGAGUGGAAUUCCUGGUGUAGCGGUGAAAUGCGCAGAUAUCAGGAAGAACACCCGUGGCGAAGGCGGCUCUCUGGGACGGUACUGACGCUGAGACGCGAAAGCGUGGGAAGCGAACAGG